CACGUAGGGUGCGAGCGUUGUCCGGAAUUACUAGGCGUAAAGGGCAGGUAGGUGGCUUGAUAAGUCUGUUGUGAAAGCUCUUGGCUUAACUGAGAGAGGUCAACAGAAACUAUUAGGCUUGAGUAUGGGAGAGGGUACCGGAAUUCCCGGUGUAGCGGUGAAAUGCGCAGAUAUCGGGAGGAACAUCAAUGGCGAAAGCAGGUACCUGGACCAUUACUGACACUCAGCUGCGAAAGCGUGGGGAGCAAACAGG
rnacentral:rRNA from 1 species